UCCUGGCUAGGACGAACGCUGGCGGCGUGCCUAAUACAUGCAAGUCGAACGCUCCUACCGGUGCUUGCACCGGGAAAGAAGAGUGGCGGACGGGUGAGUAACACGUGGGUAACCUACCUACAAGCGGGGGAUAACAUUCGGAAACGGAUGCUAAUACCGCAUAGAUCUUUUUGUCUCCUGGCAGAAAGAAGAAAGACGGUUUCGGCUGUCACUUGUAGAUGGACCCGCGGCGCAUUAGUUAGUUGGUGAGGUAAUGGCUCACCAAGACGAUGAUGCGUAGCCGACCUGAGAGGGUGAUCGGCCACACUGGGACUGAGACACGGCCCAGACUCCUACGGGAGGCAGCAGUAGGGAAUCUUCCGCAAUGGACGAAAGUCUGACGGAGCAACGCCGCGUGAGUGAAGAAAGGGUUUUCGGAUCGUAAAACUCUGUUGUUAGAGAAGAACAAGGAUGAGAGUAACUGCUCGUCCCUUGACGGUAUCUAACCAGAAAGCCAUGGCUAACUACGUGCCAGCAGCCGC
rnacentral:rRNA from 1 species